rnacentral:rRNA from 1 species
UACGAAGGGGGCUAGCGUUGUUCGGAAUUACUGGGCGUAAAGCGCGCGUAGGCGGACCUGCAAGUCGGGGGUGAAAGCCCGAGGCUCAACCUCGGAACUGCCUUCGAUACUGCGGGUCUCGAGUCCGGGAGAGGUGAGUGGAAUUCCUAGUGUAGAGGUGAAAUUCGUAGAUAUUAGGAAGAACACCAGUGGCGAAGGCGGCUCACUGGCCCGGUACUGACGCUGAGGCGCGAAAGCGUGGGGAUCAAACAGG